rnacentral:lncRNA from 1 species
AAAAAAAAAAAAAAAAAAACAACCUAGAGAUGUCCAUCCAGGCUGGACAGAAUAUUCCAGAGCAGAGAUUGGGACACUAUGGCCCAUGGGCCAAAUCUGACCUGCUUGCACAUGUGUUUGUCAAUAAAGUUUUAUUGAAACACAGCCAUGCACAUUUGCUACAUAUUGUCUACGGCUGCUGGAUUUGGCUGUUCUCAUGGUAUAAAGAAAUACCUGAGACUGGGUAAUAUAUAAAGAAAAGAGGUUUAAUUGGCUCGCAGUUUUGUAGGCUAUACAGGGAGCAUGACACUGACAUCUGCUGAGCUUCUGUGGAGGCCUCAGGAAACUUACAAUGAUGGCAGAAAGUGAAGCGGGAGCAAGAGAGUAAGGAGGGAGGUGCGACACACUCGUAAACAACCCGAUCUUGCAAGAACUCACUCACUAUUGCAAGGACAGGACCAAAAGGAUGAUGCAAAAUCAUUCAUGAGAAAUCCACCCCCAUGAUUCAAUCUCUUCCCACCAGGCCCCACCUCUAACACUGGGGACAGCUUUUAUCUUGGCUUUUUCACUGGCAGCCCCUUCCUCAAGGACUUAACUUGUGUAAGCUGACUCUUAGCAGAUCUAAGAAUGCAAUUAACUGAUAAGAUACUGUGGGGCGAGCAAUAUCCACAGUUCCCAGGAAUUUGUCCGAUUGAUAAUGCCUAAAGCCCCACGUCUAUCACUUUGUAAUAGUCUUAAAGCCCUUAGACCUAGAACUCUUUACUUUCCUGUAUCAAUUUAUCCUUUUAACUUUUUUGCCUACUUCUGUAAAAUUCUUUUAACUAGACCUGUUUCCCCUUUCUAAACUGAAGUAUAAAAGAAAAUCUAGCCCCUUCUUCGGGGCCAAGAAAACGUUAAGAGUUAGCCAUUUCUUAGGCACCAGCUAAAUAAGGAGACUCUUAAUUCAUGUGAAAGUGUGGCAUUUUCUCCAACUCAUUCAAGUACAACAUUUGGAGGCCCCAGCGAGAAACGCCAUGAGGAGAGAGCCGGGCUCCCCCGGAAGGACGGCCGGCUUGUGGGGGGUGCCACCUAAAAAAAAACCUUCAGGUCCUCGAAAAGUGACCGUCUUCCAGAGGAGAGCGGAUCGACUACCCGGCUGGCGACCACAGUCCUGUCUUUUCUGCCAGAAGCAAGUCAAGUGUUGUUACAAGAACAAGUGUGAAAAACAUUUGCCUGAUUAAGAUUUCUAGCACCAUGAAAGUUAUCCUUCUUAGAAAUUCCUAAGGCUCAAUGCUUUGUGGAAGAUUCUGAGAAAGAAAAUAGUUUCCGAUCUUUGGGAUUCCCGAGAUGGUCCAAUCUGCAAAAAGUUCAUUGCCAUUUCCAUCAAGGACACUGAGAACAAGAGUCUUAUCUGGAUUGGAUCCUGGGAAUUGAGAAGCUUCAGCAGUACAUGCUCGAUACUGCAUACAACCAAGACUUUCACCUGAGGGCUUUCUGAAAGUCAGGCAUGGAGUAUGUCAGAAAAGCCACAGAAGCUGGGCGCAGUGGCUCACUCCUGUAAUCCCAACACUGGGAGGCCGAGGCAGGUGGA